AUACGUAGGGGGCAAGCGUUAUCCGGAUUUAUUGGGUUUAAAGGGAGCGUAGGUGGGAUAUAAAGUCAGCUGUGAAAGUUUGGGGCUCAACCUUAAAAUUGCAGUUGAUACUGGUUUCCUUGAGUACGGUACAGGUGGGCGGAAUUCGUGGUGUAGCGGUGAAAUGCUUAGAUAUCACGAAGAACUCCGAUCGCGAAGGCAGCUCACCGGGCCGGAACUGACACUGAUGCUCGAAAGUGCGGGUAUCAAACAGGAUUAGAUACCCUGGUAGUCCGCACAGUAAACGAUGAAUACUCGCUGUUUGCGAUACACGGUAAGCGGCCAAGCGAAAGCGUUAAGUAUUCCACCUGGGGAGUACGCCGGCAACGGUGAAACUCAAAGGAAUUGGCGGGG
rnacentral:rRNA from 1 species